AUUGAACGCUGGCGGCAUGCUUUACACAUGCAAGUCGAAUGGUAACAGGCCGCCAGGUGCUGACGAGUGGCGAACGGGUGAGUAAUGCAUCGGAACGUGCCCAGUCGUGGGGGAUAACUACUCGAAAGAGUAGCUAAUACCGCAUACGAUCUAUGGAUGAAAGCGGGGGACCGUAAGGCCUCGCGCGAUUGGAGCGGCCGAUGUCAGAUUAGGUAGUUGGUGGGGUAAAGGCUCACCAAGCCAACGAUCUGUAGCUGGUCUGAGAGGACGACCAGCCACACUGGGACUGAGACACGGCCCAGACUCCUACGGGAGGCAGCAGUGGGGAAUUUUGGACAAUGGGCGCAAGCCUGAUCCAGCAAUGCCGCGUGCAGGAAGAAGGCCUUCGGGUUGUAAACUGCUUUUGUACGGAACGAAACGGCUCUGGUUAAUACCCGGGGCUAAUGACGGUACCGUAAGAAUAAGCACCGGCUAACUACGUG
rnacentral:rRNA from 1 species